AUUGAACGCUGGCGGCAUGCUUUACACAUGCAAGUCGAACGGUAACAGGUUAAGCUGACGAGUGGCGAACGGGUGAGUAAUGCAUCGGAACGUGCCCGAUCGUGGGGGAUAACGCAGCGAAAGCUGCGCUAAUACCGCAUACGAUCUGAGGAUGAAAGCGGGGGACCGUAAGGCCUCGCGCGAUCGGAGCGGCCGAUGUCAGAUUAGGUAGUUGGUGGGGUAAAGGCUCACCAAGUCAACGAUCUGUAGCUGGUCUGAGAGGACGACCAGCCACACUGGGACUGAGACACGGCCCAGACUCCUACGGGAGGCAGCAGUGGGGAAUUUUGGACAAUGGGCGAAAGCCUGAUCCAGCAAUGCCGCGUGCAGGAAGAAGGCCUUCGGGUUGUAAACUGCUUUUGUACGGAGCGAAAAGGCUCUCUCUAAUACAGGGGGCUCAUGACGGUACCGUAAGAAUAAGCACCGGCUAACUACGUGCCAGCCGCCGCUGUAAAAC
rnacentral:rRNA from 1 species